rnacentral:rRNA from 1 species
UACAUGUGGGGCAAGCGUUGUUCGGAAUUACUGGGCAUAAAGGGUGCGUAGGUGGUUUGUUAAGUCAGGGGUGAAAUCCCGCGGCCCAACCGUGGAACUGCCUUUGAUACUGGCGAACUUGAGUGCGUGAGGGGUAGGGGGAACGAGCAGUGUAGCGGUGAAAUGCGUAGAUAUUGCUCGGAAGGCCAGAGCCGAAGGGGCCCUACUGGUGCGUAACUGACACUGAGGCACGAAAGCUAGGGGAGCAAACAGG